UUUGCUUACUUCUACACAUAUUUUUCAAUUAUAAAAUGGAAAUUAAGUUAUCCAGUUCAACAAAACGAAGUGAACGUACAAGUGCACACGGAUACAUGCAAGCGGCAGCACACAAGAUCUCUUGAAGCAUUCAAACAAAUUAAGAUGUAUUUUUUUCUAUUUAUUGUCACGGAAGACGUCACGGAUACCGAUUCCAGAGAUUCCCCUAUCAAUGAACGAACUGGGUUUAUAUACCCGAUGUACAAUUGAAGGUAUAAAAUGCGG